GACGAACGCUGGCGGCGUGCCUAAUACAUGCAAGUAGAACGCACAGUUUAUACCGUAGCUUGCUACACCAUAGACUGUGAGUUGCGAACGGGUGAGUAACGCGUAGGUAACCUGCCUGGUAGCGGGGGAUAACUAUUGGAAACGAUAGCUAAUACCGCAUAAUAUUAAUUAUUGCAUGAUAAUUAAUUGAAAGGUGCAAUUGCACCACUACCAGAUGGACCUGCGUUGUAUUAGCUAGUAGGUGAGGUAACGGCUCACCUAGGCGACGAUACAUAGCCGACCUGAGAGGGUGAUCGGCCAAACUGGGACUGAGACACGGCCCAGACUCCUACGGGAGGCAGCAGUAGGGAAUCUUCGGCAAUGGACGAAAGGCUGACCGAGCAACGCCGCGUGAGUGAAGAAGGUUUUCGGAUCGUAAAGCUCUGUUGUAAGAGAAGAACGGGUGUGAGAGUGGAAAGUUCACACUGUGACGGUAUCUUACCAGAAAGGGACGGCUAACUACGUG
rnacentral:rRNA from 1 species